CUCACCAAGGCGACGAUCAGUAGCGGGUCUGAGAGGAUGAUCCGCCACACUGGGACUGAGACACGGCCCAGACUCCCUACGGGGAAGGCAGCAGUGGGGAAUUUUGGACAAUGGGCGAAAGCCUGAUCCAGCCAUGCCGCGUGUCUGAAGAAGGCCUUCGGGGUUGUAAAAGGACUUUUGUCAGGGAGCAAAACUUACUGGUUAAUACCCGGUGAGGCUGAGAGUACCUGAAGAAUAAGCACCGGCUAACUACGUGCCAGCAGCCGCGGUAAUACGUAGGGUGCAAGCGUUAAUCGGAAUUACUGGGCGUAAAGCGUGCGCAGGCGGACUUUUAAGCCAGAUGUGAAAGCCCCGAGCUUAACUUGGGAAUUGCGUUUGGAACUUGGGAGUCUAGAGUCUGUCAGAGGGGGAUGGAAUUCCACGUGUAGCAGUGAAAUGCGUAGAGAUGUGGAGGAACACCGAUGGCGAAGG
rnacentral:rRNA from 1 species